CAUCUCCUCUUUUUCUGCUGUCCCAUUCCGAAAACACAAGGAAGGAAGAUUUAUCAUGAAGCCAGAAGGCGGUGUUGUUCUCCUGUGAUUCCUACUUAGGGACCAUGGUAAGGACAGACAAAAUGCCCUGUGUGACUGGAUAGGGGUAGAAAACUGUACUAAGGCUCAUAGUACAAGUGCCUCCCAAUGAUCAGGACAUCUUACUGGACAGCUUCUACUCGCCAUGAAAAGGCUCGAGAAAUGCGAUUCCUCCACAACCCCUGACUUCGCUUCUCAGAUCCUUUUACUAAACCUCACAUGUGGCAGGGUCCCUGUGUCCUCAUCCCAAACUGUCUCCUUGUUUGAAAAUCAGUCACCAAGGCAACGAGUGGAGACAGUACAGCAGAGUCAUAAAGAGCUGCGGAGUCCGGAAGACCUGGUUUUGAAUUCCCAUCAUGCCGCUCACUAGCUGUGGGUCCUCUGCUACGUUGCCAAGCCUCGAGAACCUUCAUAUUCUCGCGGGAAUAUGGCGAUGAUAGCAAGCUACCUUUGGGAGAGGUUAUAAGAAUGGUGUCACAAAUGUCUAGUGCACUUGGUAUGCCAAAAGAGUUCCAUGUGUGCCACCAUCUAUUCAUUAAAAUUGCUUCCGAAGUAAGAAAAUGGUGGCAGAGAAGAUUUUUAGCCAUGGUGCCAGACUCCGCUUAAACACCUUCCUCUGUUGUCUGUGAUCCAGACUCUUACACUGACGCUCCUUAAACACACGGUUGGUGUCUCCACAGGCUCCCAAUGCUGUUUUAUCCCGUAAUGCUUUCUUCAUCUCUGCGAGAACUCCUUGUGUUUCCUUUUCUUUACCUCUUAAAAAAUAUCAUCAAAGGUUGUGAUGAAUCCCAACAGUCUGGCCUGAGGAUUGGGCAAUGUAUCAAUUCCAAAUCGAAUACGGCCUCAGAUGAUGGUGGGAGUGAAUUGUUCAUCUAAUCCACUCCCGACGUCUAAUUCGUCUCAGGAGGAAUGUGAGAGCAUUUGUAGUCAACUAACAGCUUUCUCUUGACCGACAACAGAGAGAGAUCGCGGUGGUCUCACUUUGCCAGAUGGGGAAACCAAGGCCCAGGGAUACAAAAAGGACCAAACCAAGGUGAACAAACAAUAGAAACCCACAAGUGAAAGAAAGACACAACCGUACGAGGACACGUGGUUAACCUGGUGCUAACAUGCACAAGCUCCACUGGAAUGGUGGCAUGACAAGCCUGGUAACAUGAGCUAAAGCCAGUUCCGAACUGUGCUUCCUAGCCUGGAAGACAAAGCCCUUUGUGAUCCAGCCCCAGCCUGUUUUGCCAACCCUGGCGUUUUCCACUCCCCAACUGGAAACUGAAACCCUUUGUAACCUCCAUACUCAACUCCCCAAACUCCCAGUAGCUCGUAGAGAGCUGCCUGACUGUAUAUCCUUCCCUUCCAGCACUCUGCAGUGCCGUCUUACUUCUUAUCCCUCCAUCUGGCCUGAGCUUCAGUGCGUCUGGGAAUACUCUCCAGCCGUCCUGGAGGAUUCCCCUCCUCUGUGUUUCCACGGUACCCUGGAAGCACUCCUGUAAUAGUACCUCGUACUGUGUGACCUGCUUCCUUGUCUGCCUUCCUCACCGGACCAAGAGCUCCUUUAGAGUGGGCCCCGUUGCUUUGUAUCUUAAGUGCCUGGCACACACUGGGCCUUCAAGAAAUGCCUGUAACUCACCAAAAUAUGCGGCUGGAGUGAUUUGCACCCGGAUGCUUAGACCCGCCAUCUGCUCCGAGACUACUCAGAAAGAUCCACCCAUGCACUCUCUGGCUGCAUACCAGCCUGCCCUGCCUGCAACUGUUAUUUCCCAGGACUCCAUACCUAUGCCACAGUGUUUGAAGCCGUGCUUCAAGGAAUCAUGAAAGCACUUGCCUGGACCUGCUACACGGCCUAAGUAUAGCCGACUCUACUUGGCGAUCCUGUAAUUACCCUGAUGUUACUGGUGUCUAAACCAAGGCCCAGAAAGGUAGCUUCAUCCUUCCAAGAUCCCACAGCCAAUGAGUGGAAAGUGAAGCCAGGCAAGUCUGAUGUCGUCGCCCAUCUGCCACCUUGCCCUCCGGAAACAUCAAAGAGUCCAACACAUCUGAGCUGAGAAGAUAGGUCACCACUAGAGAAAUCGCUGUGGGACUCAUUUGCAAAAGGUGCCUGUUCAUAACUGAAGCGGGAGACACGAACGACACAGCAGAGGGAUGUAGAGGUCCUUGACGGGAGCAAGGAGGGAUGCCCCCAUCUUGGAGAGAAGUAGAGCAAGAGGAACUCUUGAGAACCGCAGAGAAACCAAGAGGAGAGCUAACAGGAGGAUCAUGGGACUGAGACAGAAAGCUUUGUCAGCGAAUACAUGGCCAAGGACAUCAAAGGCUGCAGAAGUGUCUUGGAAGGGAAGAACAGGGCAGCAGGAUAGGAGUAAAGGAAAGGUGUUGAGUGCA